rnacentral:lncRNA from 1 species
AGAAACAGAAUAGCUAGAAAAGAAACAGAGAAAGAGACGAAAAACAGGGGAAGAAAGAAAGGAAAGAAAAGAAAAGGGGAAAUUGAGAUUUUUAAGCUUCAAGUUAAUUGGUAAGCUAAAUUUAGUCCUUUUCUCUUCAUUUUGAUUUUUUUUUUUUUUGGAACCCUAGAGUGAAAUACUCUUGGAUUUAAGUUGAAAAUUUGAAAGUUAAUAGAUUUUUUUUAGGGUUUAUGUUGAAUAAAUGAUUGAAUUGAUGAUUUAUUUGAUAGAGUUCUAGUUAGAGUUGAUAGAAGGAUUAAAUUGUGAACUAAACUAUAAGUUUUGAAUUUUAGGGAUUAAAUUGAGGGAAAUUCGAAAUUAGUGAAAAAUGCUGAAGAAAUUAGUAGAUAAAAUUUAGUUUGGAUGAAAUUUGAAUAGAAAUAGAGUGUGAAUUAAAUUGGAAAAGUAAAUAAAUUUAGUUAGGAUUAAAUUAGAAUUAAAGGAUAAAUUAGAUAGAAAUUCUAUUAUUAUUAUAAAUUAAUGUUGUAAGUGAUGGUGUAAAUUAUUAUUAUUUUCGUAGUUAACAAAGAACUCGAGGCAUCGGCACACAAAGGAAAGGAGAAGGUUAUUGAGGAAUAAUCGAGCAAAAUUCGGGUUUGUAUUACUAUAAUUCAAAUUUAUUUAUUAUUGAUUGUUAUAUUUUAAUUAAAAUGCAUGGUAAGUAAAAAUUAGGUAAGCAAUUGGAAUGAUAAUAGUGACUUGAAUUGAAUCAAAUUAAAUUGAAUGAUGGAAAUAUGUGAAUAUUUGAAAUGUAUAUUGAUUAAAAAGUAUUAGUGAUUUAAAUUUGAUUGAAAAAUGAAUUUUAAAAUAUGAAUUAAAUAAAGUGAAUUAAUUUAUGAAUAUGUGUGAAAAUGUGGAUUGUGUAUUGAUAGAAAAGUGAAUUGAAUUGAAUCAAAAUAUGAUUAUAUGUGAUUAUUUGAAAAUGUAUUGGUAUUAAAUUGUUAAUUGACUAGAAAGUGGAAAAGUGAUCUUGAAUUGGAAAUGGAAGAGAAUUGAGAAUUUAAAUACCCUAUUAACUAGUCGGGCUAAGUCGGAUAUAGUUGGCAUGCCAUAGGAUUUGGAAGAGUACGGGAUUUAUCGGCUUUGCCGAUCAGGCACUUUAUGUGUCGUAUAUCAGGCACCUCGUGUGUCGUAUCAGGCACCUCGUGUGUCGUUUCAGGCACUUAUGUGUCGUAUACUGAUCAGGUACUAUGUACCGUUUUAGGCACAAUGUGCCGUACUGGUGUGAUUGGGUUGGAAUCCGUGUAUCCGUCAAAGUCCAGAUUGUUAAUAGGGUGAAUAAUUGAAAUGAGAAAAUUAAAUGAAUUUGAUUGAUUGUAGUAUUGAAUAUGAGGGUAAUUGAAAUUGUUACAUGUGAUAUGUGAUUGAAAUUGAAGAAUAACUAUAAAUUUUACUGUGAUUGUUAAGUAAUGAAAGUUUAUGAAUUAAUUGAUAUUUAAGAAAUUGGAUAACUACAUGCUUGGUAAUUAUAAUUCUUUAUUGUUAUUAUAAUUUGAAUUAUGGUAAUACCACUGAGUAUAAAAAUACUCAGCGUACGGUUGUUUCCGUGCGCAGGUUGUAGAAGUCAAGUAUUGAGCCAGCAUCCAAAACCAGACCCGACUUCAGCAAAUUUUGGUGAUGUAUAUUUUCUUUUAGAAUGUGGCAUGUACAUAGGAUGUGUAUAAACGUUAUUAUGUUUUGAAUAUAAAUAGCUAAAAAUGUUAGU